CACGUAGGGUGCGAGCGUUGUCCGGAAUUAUUGGGCGUAAAGAGCUCGUAGGCGGUGUGUCGCGUCGGCCGUGAAAACCUGCAGCUUAACUGUGGGCUUGCGGUCGAUACGGGCAUCACUGGAGUUCGGCAGGGGAGACUGGAAUUCCUGGUGUAGCGGUGAAAUGCGCAGAUAUCAGGAGGAACACCGGUGGCGAAGGCGGGUCUCUGGGCCUGUUCUGACGCUCAGGCGCGAAAGCUAGGGGAGCGAACAGG
rnacentral:rRNA from 1 species